AGAGUUUGAUCCUGGCUCAGGAUGAACGCUGACAGAAUGCUUAACACAUGCAAGUCAAUGGGGAAACGGUGCUUGCACCGUGAUAACCAUGGCGGACGGGUGAGUAACGCGUAAAGAACUUGCCUCUUAGUCUGGGAUAACAGAUGGAAACGACUGAUAAGACUAGAUAUUAUUAAAGUUUCGCAUGAAGCUUUAAUGAAAAGAGAUGCUAAGAGAGAGCUUUGCGUCCUAUUAGUUAGUUGGUGAGGUAACGGCUCACCAAGACGAAGAUAGGUAGCCGGUCUGAGAGGAUGAACGGCCACAAGGGGACUGAGAUACGGCCCUUACUCCUACGGGAGGCAGCAGUGGGGAAUAUUGGACAAUGGGGGCAACCCUGAUCCAGCAAUUCUGUGUGCACGAAGAAGGUUUUCGGAUUGUAAAGUGCUUUCAGCAGGGAAGAAGGAAGUGACGGUACCUGCAGAAGAAGCGACGGCUAAAUACGUGCCAGCAGCCGCGGUAAUACGUAUGUCGCAAGCGUUAUCCGGAAUUAUUGGGCAUAAAGGGCAUCUAGGCGGAUAUACAAGUCAGGGGUGAAAACUUAGGGCUCAACUCAAAGCUUGCCUUUGAAACUGUAUAUCUAGAGUGCUGGAGAGGUGGACGGAACUACACGAGUAGAGGUGAAAUUCGUAGAUAUGUGUAGGAAUGCCGAUGAUGAAGAUAGUCCACUGGACAGCAACUGACGCUGAAGUGCGAAAGCUAGGGGAGCAAACAGGAUUAGAUACCCUGGUAGUCCUAGCUGUAAACGAUGAUUACUGGGUGUGGGCAUGAAGAGUGUCUGUGCCGAAGCUAAUGCGAUAAGUAAUCCGCCUGGGGAGUACGACCGCAAGGUUGAAACUCAAAGGAAUUGACGGGGACCC
rnacentral:rRNA from 1 species